rnacentral:rRNA from 1 species
GUAGGUGGCAAGCGUUAUCCGGAAUUAUUGGGCGUAAAGCGCGCGCAGGCGGUUUCUUAAGUCUGAUGUGAAAGCCCACGGGCCCAACCGUGGAGGGUCAUUGGAAACUGGGGAACUUGUGUGCAGAAGAGAAAAGCGGAAUUCCACGUGUAGCGGUGAAAUGCGUAGAGAUGUGGAGGAACACCAGUGGCGAAGGCGGCUUUUUGGUCUGUAACUGACGCUGAGGCGCGAAAGCGUGGGGAGCAAACAGGAUUAGAUACCCUGGUAGUCCACGCCGUAAACGAUGAGUGCUAAGUGUUAGAGGGUUUCCGCCCUUUAGUGCUGCAGCUAACGCAUUAAGCACUCCGCCUGGGGAGUACGGUCGCAAAGACUG